rnacentral:rRNA from 1 species
CACGUAGGGGGCGAGCGUUGUCCGGAUUUAUUGGGCGUAAAGAGCUCGUAGGCGGCUCAGUAAGUCAGGUGUGAAAACUCCAGGCUCAACCUGGAGACGCCACCUGAUACUGCUGUGGCUAGAGUCCGGUAGGGGAGCAUGGAAUUCCUGGUGUAGCGGUGAAAUGCGCAGAUAUCAGGAGGAACACCGGUGGCGAAGGCGGUUCUCUGGGCAUUACCUGACGCUGAGGAGCGAAAGUGUGGGGAGCGAACAGG